UACAGAGGUCUCAAGCGUUGUUCGGAUUCAUUGGGCGUAAAGGGUGCGUAGGCGGCGAGGUAAGUCAGAUGUGAAAUCCCGGAGCUUAACUCCGGAACUGCAUUUGAUACUGCUUUGCUUGAGGACUGGAGAGGAGAUCGGAAUUCACGGUGUAGCAGUGAAAUGCGUAGAUAUCGUGAGGAAGGCCAGUGGCGAAGGCGGAUCUCUGGACAGUUCCUGACGCUGAGGCACGAAGGCCAGGGAGCAAACGGG
rnacentral:rRNA from 1 species